rfam:Triticum aestivum genome assembly, contig: Triticum_aestivum_CS42_TGACv1_scaffold_158184_2DL
AACAUACUCUCUCCGUCCCCAAUUAUUUGUCGCAGAAAUGGAUAAAAAUGGAUGUAUCUAGAAGUAAAAGGCGUCUAUAUACAUCCAUUUCUGUGACAAGUAAUUCCAAACCGAGGGAGUAAAAA